GAGUUUGAUCGUGGCUCGGAAUCAACGCUGGCGGCGUGCCUCAGACAUGCAAGUCGAACGAUUAAAGCUCUCUUCGGAGAGUGUAUAGAGUGGCGCACGGGUGAGUAACACGUAAGUAAUCUACCUUCGAGUGGGGAAUAACAGUCGGAAACGACUGCUAAUACCGCAUAAUGCAGCGGCAUCGCAAGAUGACAGUUGUUAAAGGAGUAAUUCGCUUGAAGAGGAGCUUGCGGCAGAUUAGCUAGUUGGUAAGGUAAUGGCUUACCAAGGCUACGAUCUGUAUCCGGUCUAAGAGGACGGUCGGACACACUGACACUGAAUAACGGGUCAGACUCCUACGGGAGGCAGCAGUCGGGAAUUUUGGGCAAUGGGCGAAAGCCUGACCCAGCAACGCCGCGUGAAGGAUGAAGUAUUUCGGUAUGUAAACUUCGAAAGAAUAGGAAGAAUAAAUGACGGUACUAUUUAUAAGGUCCGGCUAACUACGUGCCAGCAGCCGCAGU
rnacentral:rRNA from 1 species